rfam:Felis catus isolate Cinnamon breed Abyssinian chromosome E3, whole genome shotgun sequence.
ACCUGGGUGGCUCAGUUGGUUAAGGCUCUGACUUCAAUUCAGGUCAUGAUCUCAUGGCUCGUGAGUUCAAACCCCACCUCGGGCU